rnacentral:rRNA from 1 species
GGAUUAGAUACCCUGGUAGUCCACGCCGUAAACGAUGCAUACUAGGUGUUGGCCUGUUGGGCCAGUGCUGCAGUUAACGCAUUAAGUAUGCCACCUGGGGAGUACGUCGGCAACGAUGAAACUCAAAGGAAUUGACGGGGGCCCGCACAAGCGGUGGAGCAUGUGGCUUAAUUCGAUGCAACGCGAGGAACCUUACCUGGGCUAAAUCCGCCGUGCUACUUCUGGAAACAGGAGGUCCCUUAGGGGCGCGGUGGAAGGUGCUGCAUGGCUGUCGUCAGCUCGUGCUG